CCCGGCCGCCCGGCCGCCCCGGCGCCCCGACCGCUCCGAUCCGGCCGCUCCGGCGCCCCUCGAUCGCCUCGGCCGGCGUGAAGUUCGAUCCGACGGACCAGUAGCUGCUGGAGCACCUGGAGGGGAAGGCGAGGCCGGACGCCCGGAAGCUGCACCCGCUCAUCGACGAGUUCAUCCCCACCAUCGAGGGCGAGAACGGCAUCUGCUACACGCAUCCGGAGAGGCUUCCUGGAUUAUGAGGGCUUCAAAGACGAUGAGCUGGAGGUACUUGAAAGAAGAAGUGGAUGGGGUUCUCUGUACACGAGUGAUCCUCAAGUUCUUUGCAUGGACUCGAGUGAUCCACAAAAUCCUCCUGGUUAUAUUGGCCGGCAAAGUUGUGAGCCGCUCACCACACAGCAGUUUUUUUCACUGCGCCAGAAUUGGCAACAGCUGCUAGAUGGCAAGAAGACAUACCUCCGCCCGCCAAAGAACAACCGUGUUGCCAAGGACAAUUAUGCCAACUGCCUCCUUGUAACCCCAGAACCUCUUCAGAAGGCAAUACAAUGUCAGGGCCUGGAGAUCUCUGGUUUCGGAUGUUCUCCGUUGCCAGCUUCUGUUCUCGCUCCACCCCCUGUUCCUAGCCCUUUAGGGACUCCGGUCAGGUGGGACCAGCACUAUGUCAAAAAAGGAAAUCACAGACGCGCGAUUGCAUAACUGGAAGUUAACACGCGUCUGUAAUAGAUUGUUACAGACGCCUGUUACUGUUGCGGUGUUAAAACGCGUCUGUGAUUCGUCUUGUUACAGAUGCGCGCCAUGUACGAGCGUCUGUAGUUUAGUACAGACGCUUAUUGUCAACACACGUCUGUAACUAUGGAGUCUGAAGUUCCCCUAUGAUUCUAGAUGGGCCGCUUGGCUGUCCGAAAAUUGGCCUGUUAAGCCGAUGUGGGUCGACAAUACUAAUUGGGCUGUUUUAAUUUCUUUUGGGAAGAAAGUCAUCUUUUUUAA